GACGUAGGGCGCGAGCGUUGUCCGGAUUUAUUGGGCGUAAAGAGCUCGUAGGCGGCUUGUCGCGUCGUCCGUGAAAACCUGCGGCUCAACUGCAGGCUGGCGGUCGAUACGGGCAGACUAGAGUGUGGUAGGGGAGACUGGAAUUCCUGGUGUAGCGGUGAAAUGCGCAGAUAUCAGGAGGAACACCGGUGGCGAAGGCGGGUCUCUGGGCCAUAACUGACGCUGAGGAGCGAAAGCGUGGGGAGCGAACAGG
rnacentral:rRNA from 1 species